rnacentral:lncRNA from 1 species
GUUCUUAUGGAAGUAGUCAAGGGGGAGAAGAUAGUGGGUAUGGUCAAGUUCCUCCUCCAGCACCCAAUUCUUAUGGUGGGAAUUAUCCACCUGCUCCUAAUACAUAUGGUGGGAAUGCAAAUUAUGGAAUGGACUCAGUCCCUCCACCUACGAGCUAUACUGGUGGAUCUACAUCAUACCCUCCAUCUUAUGGUGGCCCUGUGGGUGGUUAUGCUGGUGAGGGUUUGAGUGAUGUGAGGACUGGUGGUCGUGGUGGACCUCCUGGUGGGUAUGGUUCUGGUGGUCCUCGAAAUCAGGGAGGUGGUUAUGGUGGUCCUCCUGUUGAAGCACCGGCUAAGAUCAAGCAGUGUGACGGCAACUGUGGGGAUUCUUGCGAUAACUCAAGAAUAUACAUAACAAAUUUGCCACCUGAUGUUACUAUUGAAGAAUUAAGAGACCUUUUUGGCAGCAUUGGACAAGUAAUGGCUGAAUCUUAUACUUUAAAUCCAUGUGCUGUCUAAUGGGAAUUAUGUCGUCUACUUCGUACCUGUGUUUCUGUUUUAUUUUCAGAUAUGGUAUUUUUGGUUUAUGAUAAUUAUCCUUUGAAACUUAUUUUGUUCUCUAGUUCCAUGUUUUCAUGGACUUGGGGGUGUUUUAUGUACGUGGUUCUAUUGACAAUUUCUUUUUUUAUUUUGCAUGAAUAUUUUUUUAUCAUCACUGGUGUUUCUAACAAUUCACAUAUUGUUUAGGUUGGAAGAAUUAAGCAGAAGCGUGGCUAUAAAGAUCAAUGGCCAUGGAAUAUUAAAAUAUACACAGAUGAUAAAGGAAACCAGAAAGGCGAUGCAGUUUUGUCUUAUGAAGAUCCUCAGGCUGCCCACUCUGCUGGCGGUUUCUUUAACAGUAAGUACCUACAAACUUCUUAGUUUAGUUUGUUGCCUUAAAUAUUUUACCUCAUCCUUGUGGAAUCUUCUCUCAGAUCAUGUCAUGAGAGGCUAUACGAUCGGCGUGGCUAUGGCAGAGAAGACUGCGCUCAAAGUACAUGAUCAUGGGUAUCAUUUUUACCUUUGACUACCUAACUAUAACCUUUUCAUUUAGAUGCCUUUUCUUAUCUCGAAGUGAUUGAGAUGUCCCGUUGGGGUUUUCUUUGGAUUGAGUUCAUCUAUAUUGCAACUAGAUGCUUUGUUUUUCCAUGUUAUUUAUGAAUAUAUGAUGCGUAUAGAGCAUUUUUUUCUGUCUAUAUUUUAUAUUGCCAUGUCGGAUUCCUGCUUUUAAGGUUUUACUUGCUUUCAUUUCCUUUUGAAACCAAAUAUUCAAAUGAGCACCUUUGGUUAUCAUUGACAGCCUAUGUCUUACUGCUCAUCUUGUGUAUGGUUUGCUUAUGGUAAUACUUGGUCACUCCUUUUGUUUGUCACUGUGCAAGUAAACAGCUAAAAUGAUUGCCUAAAAUAUCUCACUUGUGUUUAUACCAAGUAAACUUGUUCUUUUCCUAAAUAAAUUCUUUUUUUUUUUUUUUAAUUUGACAGAGGUGGUAAAGGUGGCUACGGAGGUGGUGGCGACAGGCGCAGGGAUAGUUACAGAGAUGGUGGUUCUGGGCCAGAUAGGCAUCACCAUGGCGGAAAUCGCUCGCGCCCAUACUGAGAGGCUCUCAGCUUCAAGUUUUUUAUGCACUAGGAAUGUGGUCUAAGGGUUCUAGUUGUGUUGCAUUGACGGCAUUGUUCUUGAACAGGAGACUAAGAGGUAGGUUGUUCACUUGUCUGGGCAAUACCCCUUUUUUCUCCUUUUCCUCCUUUGUCUACUGCUUGCUGGGGGUUCUUUCUUUCUAGUUGUCGCAUUGAUUGAAUUUGUGUCAAUCUUUUAUAGAGGCAAGUGGAUUAACUCCAAAUUGCUUGCUGCUAAGGUAGGUUGAUAAUUUCAGGUGAGUGCGGCUCUUUCAAAUCACACAUUUACCCUUUUUGUUUGGUAGUUAACCCUUGAUGGUGGACUUGAUUUUGUUUCCUGUCUGCUCAUCAUGGUGGAACAAGCUUGUUAUUUAUAUGCAUGCAUGGGUAUCUCUUAUAUUAAGUCUUUAUGCCUUAAUGUUGUCAAAUUAGCUUGGUUUGGGCUUGAAAUUUUUGUCAUGUUGCCAGUGUUGUCAAGGUGUGCGCCAUGUGCCUUAUCAUUAUCCAACAAAAAACGCCUCAAGACACUUCCAGGCUAGGUCCAUUUGAUCAGGUGCAUGCCUGAUGCGCCUAGCCAUGCCUUCUUGUAGGGCUAUAGGCAUAAUUUUCUGAUUUUUCAUUUUAUAUAUCUCUAAUAGUAAGAAAUUUAUCCAUCUCAAACUCAAUAUUUGAGCAUUCAACAUCAUGGACCAUAAAGGAAUAAUGCAUAUUGACUAAUAAAGAAAUAGCAUGUUUCAUGGAUAAACUAGACAGCACUUUAGAGACUGUAGAUCCUAAGCUUUAUUAUGCAGACACACAUGACUUCCAAAAACUCAUACACUUUCAUGAGGGUUGUGCUUUGUGGCAAAGGCAAUACAAGGGUUCUAGCACCUAGAGUGCAUCUUUUGCCCUAAUUAAAAACGAGUUAAUGGCUUGUACAUAGUUGAUUUGCUAAAUAAGAAGUUGGGAAUGAUGAGUGGUUGAAAUGGCAUUGGAUGAUUGAAUAUACGCUUGGGGGUGGCAGCUGUGGUAUUGGUGAAGUAUUUGAAAUGCAGAACAAUGGCUGGAGGGUUGUGCCAUGCCUUCAUGAUCUGGUUUUGUUGUAGCUUUGAGCUUGGGAUAUGGUAGCAACUUGUGAUGCUGCAUGUUGUUGUUUGAUAGUUUUAGUACCGAUGGUGGUCGUCAAGGAUAUUCUCAAGUGUUCUGUCUAGAAUAUCUUAAAUCUUUAUGCAUUUAGCUUCACUGUUUAUUUUGUUGAGGCACAAUGUUCCAAAUUUAUCAGUGGGAUUGCUGCUGCUUUUUAAAUAAUGGAGACACAGGUACUUCAAAUGAACUAAUUGAAUAAUUCGACUGAUUAUUUGGUUUAAAUUUGUUUAAAUUAAAAUUAAAAUGUGAAGGUUGUGGAUUUAAUUUUGUACAUUAGUUCAGUAUUUUUAGUUGCAUUUAUUAAUUUUUUUUUAAAAAUGUUCUUAUCAAAUAAUAAAGUUAUUUAUCAAAUUAUGUUCAAAAUUUUUUGUACUAAAAUUAUAUUAGAUUGUAUAAUAAAUAAAAAUCUAAAAUUUGAAAAGAAUUGAGAUUUAAAAUGAAUUAAAUUUACAAUCUGUGUAUAAUAUGAGUGAUUAAAUUUAGCUAAACAGUGUUAAUAUGUCGGUCGGGAUUAAUUUUAAAAUCUGAUUUAUAAACUAGAUGGACAUUAAUAUUAAUUGAAUUAGGGUAUAAAAAUUAAAUGUAUAAUUUUUGUAAAAUAAAAGGAUUAACAGUAGAAUUUAACUUUAAACUAAUGACUUUUUUGUGACUGUACGUGUUCACAAAUGGUAAAGAAUUCAUAAAUAAAUAAUUAUAUAAUAAAUGGAGUAAAAUAAAAAUAUAUGAUUGGUGAUUAAUUAGUAGUAUAAAGAAUUUAUAAAGUUGAAUUGUUUAUUGUAAAAAAAAUAAAAUCUAAAUUUUGUAGAAGAUGUUAGGUAAUGAGAUUAUCGUCUCGCUCCUGUACGUCAGAUUUAUUUAGGUAGUCAUCCAAAUUUGUUCACAAUUUUAUUUUUAUCGUUUAUUUAAAAAGCUUAUUAUUUUAGUCGUUUCUGUCACAUGAGUUGUCAAUUUUAAUUACUAGCUAUUAUGAGUCUACUGCAUAUAUAUAUACAUAUAUAUAGAUCUUAUUCAUCUAUUGAUUCAAUCCCUCUUUUAACUCAAAAUGUCAUGGUAAGGUAUAGGUCAUCGGUUCAAAUUUGAUGAGGAGUUUUUGACUCUUUUUUUUUUCCGUAAAACUCCUACGAUAUGGUAGUAUUCAUAUUGAAACAUAAGGAUGUUGUUUUUAUUGGUAAUAAAAACUCAAUUUACUCUUAAAUACUUUUGGUCUAGUCAUUAGUUUGCUAUAAUGAUAAAUUUAACUCUUAAUACUUUACAUAUUUUGUCAAUUUGAUCUUAAUUUUAAAAAAAGUAACAAUUUUUACCCACAACCUUGGCAUAAAUUUAAUCUAAAUUCUAAAUUCUAAAAAAAUUGAAGAAUAAAAACACAAAAAUAUAAAACGUUUAAAGAUGUAACUUUCAAUGGAAAUUAAAAUGCAUGAUUUUACUCUCAAAUUAAAGAAUAAGAUUUGAAUUAAUCUUUUAUAUCAUAGCCAAUCACACAAUUCUUUUUAUCAAAUUACUCAAGAAAAAUAAGUAAAAUUGAUAUUCGGCCUAAUCUUUACUUACAGCAAAAUUUCUUCAGUGGAAAACCAUUCAUCCGUUACCUGCACUGCAACCACAUCCACAAAAUCCUCAAACAAAAAGAAAAUUCAAUACUAGAAUGAGAAGUAAAUGAAAACACGAACCCUAGGCCAGUUCCUACGAAAACCCGUAGUAAAAGUUCACCAUCGGAUUCCAAGCUCAAACUCCCGGUCGAGCUCACGAGCACAGUAAGUGGCGGCUUGAACGAUGGAGGAGAUUUGGCGGGAAAGGGAGUAUUGGUGGUCUAACGGUUCGCCGUUUCUUUUUAAGUUGGGGAGUUUUGGAGACUUGGCCUUUGUUAGUGCAAACCUUCUUGAAUAGAGCUUAGCUUUCUCCCACAUUGGGGUAGAGUAUCACAUCAAGGGGUACUCUUUGUUGCCUUUUUUAGGCAUGGUAUCUUGAGUUUGGUUAUUAAUGAAAUAACCAAAUUUUGCGAGCGGAAAAGUUCAAGGAUUGCAACAGGGAGAGCGUUUGUACUCAAGACGAGGUAAUGCUUGAAUCAUGGGGAAGGAAGGUGGCAAAUAGAGUUAAUAACAAAGAAAGGAAAGGGAUCAGAGUUACCUAGGUGUGAGACGCAACCUAGGAGCUCAAAGAGGAUGAUGAGGAGGCCCUAGAGGUAGCUUUGUGGAUUCUUCAAACUCCUUUGACUCAUUGAAGGGAAGAAACUCCAAAGUAAAUUGAAGAUAAAACGACACAGAUUAGUGUAGGUGAUGUCUAAGCGCUAGUGUUGCUGAAAGAGGGCCUUGAGGGGGUCCGCGAUAUCUUCAGGCUCUUUGAAUUCCUUUGACUCCUUUGGUGGGAAGAUUGAUGAUUUCCAUAGUAUUUGAGGGAGACAGACCUUGAAAGUGUAGUAGAGGUGAGUGGGGCAUGCUUUUCGGACUCCUCAAGGAGAAGGGAUUUAAACAUCUAGGCUGGAGGUUUGGGGGGAGAGAGAAACUACAGGUGGUGAAGAGACCUUGCAAGAUAUGAGCUCGGAAGGCCUUGGGGUGUGGAGAGGCACUGCUUCUUCAAGGCAUGCAUUUUGCAAAUAAGGCUCACCAGGUAAUUCUUGAGUUGGUUCCCUUCCCUAUAAACACAAAUUCCUCCCUACUCCUCAGUUGGUUUUUUAAGGUAUGAGAACUCAUUAAUUAUUCUAGUUCCUGCUUGUGCUUAUGAAAACAUUCCUUAUAUAGCUCCUGCUGUGUGUGCAGUUUGCUGGAGAUCUUGAUUCAGAAACACUGUGUGCUUUUGAAGAGAUCAAGCAAUGCAUUCCAGGACACUUGGUAGGAUCCAAAGAAUUGUUGGCGGGAAUAUCAUCGGCCUGAGUCGCAUGGAUAGUUCAUAGAUUUCAUUUAUCAUCAGCACAAGUAGUUGUUGUUGUGGAAAUAACACAAGGUAAAGGUGAUGUGAAAUCAGAAUAUGUGACAUAUUUUAUCACUUUUUUUUAUGAAGUUGGGUUUAUAGGCAUAAUGCACUUAAAAGUUUUUGUAGUGGGGGUGUCAAGAGAGAAGUCUAAUUAAAUGUGUAUUAAGAAUGGUGACAUUGUUAAUGAUUAUAUUAUGCCUCUGAGUUCCAUUUGCUCUCAGCCAAAAUUUCAUAUGCAAUAAAACUCUUGCAUCGACGAAAAAACAGUUUCAUAAGUACUAAGUAAUAUAUAAUAACACCACCAAUUUCUAUAAAUAUAAGAUAGGAGAACAAGAGUAUGAGUCUUGAAGCUAAGAGACAUAGCACAUCUUUUUCUUAAUCAUAUUUCAUGGAUGGAUGUCAAACCUAGUAAUUUUACGUAAACAUAUUGUUCAUCACAUCAUCGACCAAACCACGUAACGUAGAGUGUGAAGAUCCAGCAUUCAUCAAGGCUUUCCUACUCUUUUCACUCAUCUCUUUUACCCUUCUCCUAACAUCACUGCCCUCAUCCAUCACGCUCCUUAUUCCUUUCUCUAUCGUUUUGGCACUCACGAUUUCAAUUUCACCGCUAUCCAUACCAUCUCUCUUAUAAUCCAUUUUAAUUUCCACUGCUAAUCCCAACUCCAUCACCAAUUCAAACGCAUUCAGUUGUUGUUCUGCGUAAACUGGCCACGCCGCUAUGGGAACUUCGAACCAUAUACUCUCCAGCGUCGAGUUCCACCCACAAUGCGAUACGAACCCUCCAGUCGCUGGGUGGCCCAAAAUCGCCACUUGCGGUGCCCAACCAAUGAUCUUACCUAUGCCACGCGUUCGAUCUAAGAACCCUUCUGGCAGAACCUCCGAUGCAUCAUCAUAGUCAGUUGGGCUUGCCCUCGGGCCCUUGGAUGGGUGUGGGGGUUGGCGUAAUGACCACAAGAACCGGUGCCCACUCUGCUCUAGCGCGAAAGCAAUCUCUUUCACUUGAUCCCCAUUGAAGCUGCCCCAGCUCCCGAAGCAGAGAAACACCACCGAUGACGGCGGUUGUUCAUCCAGCCAUUUCAUGAUAUCAGAACUCUGAUGGACCUCACUUUCACUCUCGAGAUUCAAUAAAGGUCCCACUGGAUAAACGGGUAGAGCACUAGCAUCAGAUAGGGAGCUGAUUGCAUGGGAUUCGAGCUCCCAAAACGUGUUUAUUAUUAUACCCUUGGCCUUUCUUAGCCCUCUUGUCAAGGUAAUCACCAUAGGAAGAGAUUCAGGCUUGAGCAUAACAGUGGGAAAGAGUUUAGAUGACACAGGGUUGAGAUAGGAGGGUAUGGUGAACUCAGUGUCCGAGUCCUCUAACUCAAGGAUGUUAACAUUUUGCUCAUCGUGAAGGUCUAGUAUAUAAAAUUGAAAGCCGAGAAAAGCUGCACCCGAUGUGUAAAAAACAUAACUCGGAACACUCAACUCGUUACCCAAAUCAAUGAAAGGAGUUAAAAACAUGUCGAGAACAAACCCGGCGAGGCGAGGCGAGUCGAGCACAGAGGUGGAGUACUGAACUAUGUUGGUGGCAGCCUGUUUCACUAACGGUCCAUGGAUUUGCAAUAAAGUAGUGACAAAAUUGGAGGGAGAUUCAUCUUCGCGGGUUUCAGGUGGAGGGAGGUCGAUGAAUUUCAUGCGAGUGGCAGUGAGAGAGUGGACGUAGGCAGCGAGUUUUGCAUCGGGGUUUAGUUUUAUCAUGAGAACAGUAAUGGAGAGAUUGGGAUGGAGAUCAAGCAAAAGCUUAGCCAGUUGGACCAUAGAUACGAAAUGGCCCAUUAGAGGCAUUGGGAUGAAGACAAGCUCGGCUUUCAUGACCAUCUGGAACAGCACAGGAUAGGCAACAGAGACGAUGAAGAAGGUAGAUAAGAUUGAAGAGUGGAGGCCACUAAAAGUUGAGUGAUGAUAGAUUGUACAAGUAGUACAAGUCCUAAAGGCGUGGAACUUCAUGUCGCUAAUACCACCCAAUCAAUUUAUUUUACCUUUUCACUGAAAAAGAAAAGAAAAGAAAAAAUUAACCUUGGCACGAGAUAAUUAAUACUUGUCGGAUCUCUGUCCACUUUCAUACUAACGUCCUUUGGUCAAUAAUACCGCCCAUUAUACCCGUAUUUUUACGGGUAUUUUUAAAAAUAUACAUGAGUAUCGUUUGACACAAUGAUAAUAUUAAAAAAUUAUUUUUUUAAAGUUUAAUAAUUGUGAGAUGAUUGAUUGAAAAAGGGGAGUGAUGCCGUCAAAGUAUCAGACAUCACCUUAGGUACAGCAGCAAAUAACUCAUUUUCGUAAAUAUUUUGUCCUCCAACUUAUUUUCAUACGUAAUUAAUUUUUUAUAUAAUUUUUAUAAAAAAAAUGCCGAAGGGAUUGGACUAACGGAGGAUGCCACAACUGAGGAAACGGGGGCCGACCUUAAAGCUUCAUCGAGUGCCAUGUUGUCAAUUGUAGAGCUAUAGAGUUCACCUAGGAUGUAUUUACUAUUACUUUUCAAAAGUAUUUUUGGAACCAUAAGCGAGGCUAAACAAACUAUUUUUGAAGUAAAAAAUACUUUUAAACCUAAAAAAAAAAACAUUCUUCUAACUUUUGCGCUUGGGAAGUGCUUUUGGUAGACCUGUCCAAAGGUCGGGUCAAGCCUUACCAAAAAAUUAUGCCCAUUUGCUAGGCUUAGGUCCAUCUUGACCUGAAAAAUGAGUUAAAAAUUUUGUCCAAGCCCGACCCAUAUAAAAUGUUAAAACCUGGACCCGGCCUGGUCGAAUUAAUUUUUUAUAUAAAAAUUUUAAAAAUAUAAUACAUCAAAAAUACUAAAAAUAUUAAAAUAAAUGUUUCCUAACAAAUUGAAAAUAAAUUAAAAAAAUAUUUGUAUUUAAAUAACACUAAGAUAGGUGUAACUUAACAAGCAAGUGACUCUAAAAUAGUAAUAAAAUUAACAACAAAACAAGAGUUAUACAAUAUCAAAACAAUAACAAUAAAAUAAUAGUAACAUAAUAGUGAAAUUGUAGCAAAAUAGUGAGAAAACAGCAAGAAAAUAGCAACAAAACAGCAAAAAAUAACAUUUUUUGUCUUUUUGCUAAUUCAGGUCGGGCAGGAAAAAAAAAAUUACUUGAAGCCUGGUCCGUUUUUUAAACAUGCCUUUUUUUGUCCAUGCACAUUUUUUGGGCCUAUAUUUUUACUCAAACUCUCACAUUUUUCAGAAAGGCUUUUGGGUCAAAUAAUAUUUUUAAUCAUUAUUUAUAAUUCAAUGUAUUUUAUUAAAUAUUUAUAUUGGAUAAAAUUAUUUUUUAUUCAAAUUUAUUUUAAAUAUAUAAAUUAUAUAUUUAAAUUUGUAAUGGUUAUAUUUUAAUAUUUAAAAUAUAAUUUAUAUAUUCAAAUUGAAUUUACAAAUAAUUAAUAUUAAUUACUUUAAAAUAUUCAAAAUUUGUAUUUCAUAUAUCAAAAUAUUAAUAAUGAGUUGCAAUAAAUUAUUUUUUACAUUUUAUUGAAAUAUUGUAAUAUAAUAAAUUCAAAUAGUGUUUAAAAGCUUGUUUUGUAGUUUAUUAUAUCAUGUCUAAAAUAAACAUUUUAUUUUUGAAAAAUAUUCUUUGAUAGCAAUACUAAACACUUAAAUUUUAAACCGAAUUUUUUAAAAGCAACGCUAUACUAGCCUUUAAAAUUUCAGAUUUUUUUCCUGGGUUUCCAUUUUUAUAUUUAUUAUAAUAUAAAAUUACAUAGAAAAUUAUUUGAUGCACUAUUAGUGGAGUUUUUAGACUCCACAAGUAGGGCUAGAUGGGUUGACAAAUUUCCUGUAAGGGUAUAGUAAAAUAUUAAAAAAAUAUUUUUUAAAAAAGAAACCCAUGACAAUUUUUUAUGUUUGUUUGUGGAAUAAAAAAAGUAUACUACUAAUGUAUUUUUAUAUGUUUUUUAAUUUAAAUUUUAUGUAUUUUUAUAAUAAAUUUUAAGUUUUUGAAGCUUUAAAAUUAUAUAUAUUUUAAUUUUAGAACCAGGAUUGAAUUGACAGAAUUUGCAAACGUUGUGGGUAAAAAUUGUUGAAUUUUUUAGAAUUAGGACCAAAUUAACAGAAUAUUCAAAUUGUUAAGGGUUAAAUUUGUUAUUAUACCAUUCAAAAGACUGCAAGUAAGCAUUCCAUCUGGUGACCAUAUGUGUUUAACGACAGAGUGACUAAGACUGACAAGUUAUCUAACUAGAGUGACUAAAAUGACAAAUUUUUAAAAUAGGUGACCAAAAUAAGAGCACCAAUAAACUCGGGUGACUAUCUAGGUAGUUUUCCCAGAGAUAAUAUUUGACCUUUGUAUUCUUUAUAUAUUUGAAUUUAGUUUUUUUUUUUUACUUGAAAGGAAUUAAGUUUUAUUUUUGGAUUUAAAAAUAUAAGUACAAUUGUUAAGAAUGAUAAAACAUUUUGGUUAAAUUUAGUCUCAUUAUAACAAUUUUUUUUUGUUAUAUAAAUAUCAAAUAAAUAUUUUUCAUUUAAAAAUACGGUGAAAUUAAUAAAGGGUAAACACCACAUGCCAUACAAAUAUGGGCCAUUUUCUUUUGUGGUCACCAAAUUAUGAUUUUUUUAAAAAAAAUUUGAACACCCAAUUACGAGUUUGUUUCUUUUUUGUCAUCCAACUAUAAUUUUUUUAAAAAAAUUUGGUCACUUAACUAAUUGAGAUUGUUUUUUUUAUCCAUUUUCGUUAAUUGUACUAACGGGAGGGUGACAUGGCAAUUAAAAAAUCGAUAUAAUAACAAAUUUAGCCUUCAACUUUUACAUAUUAUAUCAAUUUAGUCCUAUUUAAAAAAAAUUAACGCUCAAAAUUUACAAAUGAUCUCAAUUUUGAUUCUCAAAAUUUACCACCUUCCUCUUCUGCUUCCCCCACCGCCACUACCGUCAUGGCACGGUUUCACUACAAUUAUGUUGCAAAAGUUCGUCGUUCUCUAUAAAAUUGUCAUUAAGCUCAUUGUAGCACCCCUAACCCCAGACCGUCGCCGGAACAGGGUUACGAGGCAUUACCAGACAUAUCAAACGAUUUAUAAAUAAUUCUUAAAUAAAUAACCAACAUAUUAGAAUAAAUCAUAAAUUCAUAUGUUUGUUUACCAAUGGACUUCAUUUUUUUUUAUAAAUUUCGGCAGCAUUUCAACUUAUUUUUACAUAAAACCCCUGCAAUUUAAAACCAUUUCAUUUUCAAAUAUAAUCAAAUCAACCAGUUCAUGUCACAUUCUCAUUUCCUAUUCUAAAUUCCUUCUAAUCAAACUCAAUCAAUAUAAUAUCAAUUUAAAUUUAACAAUGUACUAAUUAAAUAAAAAUAGGUAAACUUCUUUCAUUAUAAUUCAUAAACUUCUAAUACUAACAUUUUUAACCAUUUAUAUUAAAACAUAAUAACCUUUAUAUACAUCCUAUGUACAUGCCACAUUACCAAAAGAAAUAUACAUCACCAAAAUUAUGCUGAAGCCGGGAUUAAUCUGGAUGCUGAACCGGGACCUUUGACUUCUAUCGACCUGCGCACGGAAACAACCGUACGCUGAGUAUUUCAUACUCAGUGGUAUUACCAUAAAUCAAAUUAUAACAAUAAUAAACAUAUAAUGCAUAAAUCGUAUAUACAAAUUUAAAUUCAAAUUCCAUAUUUCAAUAAUAACAAAUCAUCAACUAAUAUCAUACAUCCACAAUUUAAAUUUGGAUAUAUCAUGAAUCUUAGGGUUUGUUUGAUUGCCACUAAAAUAUUUUCCGUAAAAUAAUUUUUGGAAAAUGUUUUACUUUUCUGUAAAAUGAUUUACUGGAAAAUAUUUUAUGGUGUUUGAUUGAAUCUGUGUAAAAUAUUUUCUGCUGCUUUGCAGAUUUUUUGAAAAUAUUUUUCGGAAAAGUUGUUUUUACAUAUAUUAAUAUAUAUUAAUAAAUUUUUAUAUUUUAAAUUUUUUUACAUAUAUUGCAAUGAUUUAUUUAUAAUAAUACUCAAUUAUUAAGCUACAAUAUUAAUCGUUAUAAAUUGAAAAAAACUAAUAUCAAAUAAAUUAUUUGUAAUUGUGUUAAAAACAAGUAUUGAAUAAUUAAAAAAAACAAGUUACUAGAAAAUCGAUAAACAGAAGCAGUUUUCUACCGGAAAUGAAGGAAGGAAUGAAGGAGGCGAUAGAGAGGAGAGCACGGAAAAUGUCUUACGGAAAUUGAAAGGGUAAGACAUUUUCCCUAAAAUGUAACUCAUUUUCCCUUGUUUUGGAGUUCAUUUUCCAAAUGGAAAAUGUUUUUCGCCAAUCAAACGCUGAAAAAGUUGGAAAUGAUUUUCCGAAAAAUCAAUCCCGUCAAUCAAACAGACCCUUAGGUUCAUUUCUCAAUCUCAUAUCACAUUGCAAUUCACAAUUCAACUUUUUCAUUUCACUUCAGUAGCUCGUUUGAUCAACUCGUUCGGUUUAUCAUUUCAUUAAUUACCCUAUUAACAAAACUCGGACUUUGGCGGAUACACAGAUCCAACCAAACACACCAGUAUGGCACCCAGUGCCUCAUCGAAUAGUUCGAAGCAAUAGUUGACACCCAGUGUCUCAUCGGCCAAGCCGAAGUAAGUUGGUACCCAGUACCUCAUCGAAUCUAUCCGAAGAAAUAUAGUGACACCCAGUGUCUCAUCGACUCGAGGUCGAAGUAUACCUAAACUCUUCCAAUCCUAUGGCAUGCCAACUAUAUCCGACUCAGCCUGACUAGUUAAUAGGGUAUUUAAAUCACAAUAUUAUAAUCUCAAUUCAAUCACAAUUUCUCACAUUUUCAAUUCAAUCAUUUUCCACCUUUCAAUCAAUAAUUAAUCCACAAAUUCACACAUUUUCACAACUCGAUACACUUCCAUACAAUUUAAUACCAUUCACAAUUCGAUUCAAAUUCAUUUCCCACUUUCAAUCAACAAACAAUUCAAAUAUUAAUUCAUAUCAACUAUUCAAUUUAAUUCCCACUCAUAAUAAUAAUAAUACUUACCUCAUAUUUUAUUUACCAAACACAUAAAUUAAAAUUUAACAUUUAAUAAUAAAUAACUUGAAUUAUAGUAAUACAAACCGUAAAUCUCCCGUUUUAGUCCUCGAUAGCUUUCUCCUUUCCUUUUGAUGCUGAUGCCUCGGGUUCUUUGUUAGCUACGAAAAUAAUAAUAAUUUAUACUAUUAAUUACAGCACUAAUUAUGAUAAAUAAUUGAAUUUCUAUUCAAUUUCUUCCUUAUUCUCAAUUUAAUCCUAACUAAAUUCACUUACUUUCCUAAUUCAAUUCACACUCUAUUUCUAUUCAAAUUUCAUCCAAACUCAAAUUUAACUAUCAAAAUUUCAGCAUAUUUUACUAAUUUCUAAUUUCCCUCAAUUCAGUCCCUAAAACAUAAAACUUAUAGUUUCUUUUACAAUUUAAUCCAUUUAUUAAUUCUAACUUAAAAUCUAUUCAAUUAAACCCCUAAUUCAAUAAUUUAUUCAACAUAAACUAUACUUGAAAACCUAUGAACUUACAAAAUAUCAACUUGAUUCCAUCAAAACCUUGUUUUAAAACUUCUAAAACAUUAAAAUUAAGAAAAAAAGAGCUAAAUUGACUUACCAAAUUAAAUUCCAAGCUUUAGAAACCCUAUUUUCCCUUUUUCUUCUUUCUCAGUUCUGUUUUCGAAUGCUAUUCUGUUUCUUUUCUGUUUUGUUUCUUUCUUUUACUUUAUUUUAUUUUACGUUUUGUUUAUUAUUUAACUACUAUAAUAUUAUAAUAAUGAAAUAUAAUAAUAAUUUCUUAAACAAUAACAAUUAUAUAUAUUUUACAAUUGUAUGCAUGUACUUUUUACACAUAUAUAUUAUCAUCACCAUACAAUUGUCAAAAUAUUUAUUUAUUUUAUAUAAUAAUAUAAUAUAAUAUAAUAUAAUUAAUAUAUUAUUUACUUAUUUAUUAAGAAUAUAUAUAUAAUAUACAUAUUUUAACUAAUAAAAUAUCCUUGAUAUUUUACACUUAAACCGCCUCAAUCUUUGCAAUUAGUUUAUUUGCCUUUUUAGUCCUUUUAACUUUUCAUUAAUCUAUAAUUAAACUUCUACCUCUAUUGCAAUUUAAUCCUUUUUGCUAAUUACUCAUAAUUAAACUAAAUUCACCUAUCUAAAACCUAAUUAAACACACCACUAGUCUAGUAAAUAUUUCUAAUAAUUAUUUUCGAACUCAAUUUACUAAGACGGAGGCCCGAUAUUAUACUUUUCCGAUGUCCGUGAAUUUUGAGUCAUUACACCCAUGGUAAACAAGGUUAAGGUGGUUAUGCCAAGAUUGAUUGGUCCUAAUCAAGUUAGCUUUGUUCCUGGGAGAACCAUCACUGAUAAUAUCAUUAUUGCCCAUGAAAUGAUCCACUCGAUGAGAACUCAUAAAGGUAAUGAUCGUCAAAUGGCUAUUAAAUUUGACUUGGAGAAAGCCUGUGACAUACUUGGAUGGGAUUUUUUGGAGGAUUCUCUCUUUGAUGUUGGUAUUUCAAUUGAUAUGGUGCGAACUAUUAUGCACUAUGUCUCUUUUAUCAAUAUGCAGAUCUUGUGGAAUGAGUGCUUAACUGAUAAAUUUACUUCGUCGCCUGACAUUCGACAAGAGGACCCCAUCUCACCAUGUCUCUUUGUUUUUGGUAUGGAACAAUUAGGCUAGAGCAUUUAUAACUCAGUGGAAUGUAAUUAAUGAUAUCCGAUUAAAUUUGCAAGGAAUAGUCUCUCCCUUUCUCAUCUCUUUUUCUCUGACGAUCUUGUUCUUUUUUGUAAAGCAUAUUUAGACCAAGCUCAAGUGGUGAACAAUAUUCUGAAAUAAUUUUGCCAGUCUUUAGGCCGUACAGUGAGUUAUUCUAAAACUAAUAUAUAUUUCUCAGCUAAUGUGAAGGAGGAAAAAGUUGACCUAUUUGUACUGUUCUUAAUUUCAAUGGAGUUGAUGACAUGGGCACGUAUUUAGGGGUUCAUUUAUUCCACAAAAGAGUUAACCAAAAGCAUUUUUCAGUUUAUUAUUGUAAAGGUUCGCAAUAGAUUGAGCGGUUGGAAUGCAAGCCUACUUUCGGUGGCUUUGCUAAAUCAGUCCUUUUAGCAAUACUUAAAUAUUUUAUAAUUACGGCCAAGAAUUAAUUUUCAAUCCUAAAUAAUAUUCAAUUACAAAUUAAAUAUAUUAUAUUUUGUUUUAUGUAUUAGUUUGCAUGUCAUUUUAUUUUAAUGAUGUUAAGAAAAUGGAUCUAAAUAUGUGUCAGAAAUCAAAUUUGAUUACCAACUUGAAUAAAAAGAAAAAGCACUUAAGUAUCAAUUUGAAAAUUUAAACAAAAUUCAAGUACUAAAAAAUAAAAUUUUCCUUUCACAUUUUUUCUAUUAACAUUUAAGGGGAGCUAACAGAAAGCUCUUUGUAAAGAGCACUCCCUAAAACCCUCGAAAAGUCGGCUGGAGUUUUAGGGAGCGCUCCCAUGUAGAGCUUAGUUCCCAUCAAUUGAAUCUAUUAAAUUUUCAAAAUUUCAAUUUAACCAGUUAGACUAAAUAAUUUAAUAUUUUAUUAAAUUUAAAAUAUAAAUUAAUAAUAAUUAAAAGUAAAGUAAACAUUAAAUAAAAAUAUAUAUUGAAAAGAAUCGAAGAUAAUAUAAAACAUAAAAGAAAAUAUUCAUUUUUUUAAAAUAUCCUGAAAAAAUAAAUAUCUUUUAAACAAUAAUAACUUUUUCUGGUUUUUUUUUUCUAGUUUAAUCCAUUCUUUAUUUUUUAUUUAAUUAUAAGAUAAGUUAAUUCAAUUAAUUUCUUAUUAGCGGAGUUUACUUUAUUCAUAGAAAACUCUAAACCUUCAAGUUGAUUGCUGGUCACAGUUUUUCUAAUGUUUUUCUCGUAAGUUUAUUUUGUUUUUAAUUUCAGUCCACAUCAUUGUGGUUUUGUCCACAUUUUUUAGUUUUAUUUUGUCUAUAGUUUUGUGGUUUUAUUUUGUCCUUUUUUUUCUGGUUUUUGUUUUGUCUACUUUGUUUUGUUCGAAAGCAAAGGUGGUUUUAUUUGUACUUUUAAUUUUGAGGCAUAUUUUGGCAUAUAUUAAGGGUGCCUCCAGAUCUAUUAGGAAUUGUUCUCAAUGGGCUUUAUCAUGAUAGAUCAUAACGAUGAUGAUAGAUUUAAGAUGAUCAAAAUGAUAAAUCCCUCGAGACUUGACCUUUUGUGCAUCACUUAUGCAAUAAGUCUCUUUGAGCUUUUGGAAGUUUUUUCUUGGUUGAUUGGUGUUGAUGUCAGGUUGAUUUGAUGAUGACAAGGCUAGGAUGUAAAUUUCAAUGAUCUAAUCAAGUUGCAUCUCUGGUUUGUUUCUAAAUUAUUCCAAUGCUGCAAUUAUUGUCAAUUUGUUCUUUUGUUUUUAGAUUACUAUGUAGGCAUGACAUUUGUACAUUAGUUUGUAGUGAUUUAUUUAUUAUUUGUAUUAUGUGCCUUGUCUUUGUAUUAUUUUUCAUGGUUCCUAUUAAUAAUAAUUAUUUGUUCAAAAAAUAAAUAAAAUGAUUUGUUAAGGUUAUUUUAAAGCCAUAAUAUAAUUUUUAGUCCCUAAACUUGAUAACUAAGUCCAUUUUGGACCCUAAACUUGAAAAAUAUAAAAAGUUUGUUGAGACACUAUAAAAUUAUACCACGUCAUCACUUGAAAGUGAUGGCGUGGUACAACUUUAUAAUGUUGCAUCCAAUAUUUUAAUAAUUAGAUUUGUGGUUAAAUUGGUUAGACCAUUGAUUCCCAAUUCAACUUGAUAGUCAAUUUUGUGUCUAUAAGUAUUAGUGAAUUGAAAAUUUUGUGAUGAUUAUGGAAAAUGAUGAUUUUGAAUGUUAAGCAUGGCAUGUGGUUUAGUAAUGCUUGAUUUAGCAAUGUUUGGUGUCUUUAGAAACGAGGAAUAUGAAUCUAUUUGAUCUUGGUAUAUUAAAGAUGGUAAAUAAGUAAAAUAGCUAAGUUGGUGCAUAACUAGAAUUGGCAUGUUUGAUGGUCUUGCUUGACUUAUACAUUUUGUGUAUGAUUAUUUUGGUCCAUUUCAAGUUCAUGUAGGUUUUUGACAAUUGAAUUGCAUAUAUAUGUAUACAUGGAGCUUGAUUGAACAUGGUUGACAUAGUCUUGUGGAUAUUUGGGAUUAAAUAGGCUUAAGUGAUGAAUGGUUGAAUUUAUAAGGUACUAAAUAUGAUACGAGUCACAAAAGCCCAAAUUCUUGAAGGCGAUGCCCAAUAAGCAAAUUCCCAGCCCAAUCAAGAAAUCCACCCAUACUUAGUUGAAAAUCAGGCCAAAUUGUCAAAGUGGCCCAAGUUGUAAAGUUUUAUUUUUAUUUAUUUAUUUAUUUAUUUUAUUUAGUUUAAAUUUUUAUAUUCAGUCCAAGAGUCCCAAAUAAAAGACCCUUGGCCGAAUUUCCAUAUUAAAAUAAUUAGGAGUUUUUUUUAGUUUUAAUUUUAGUGUUCUAAUUAAAUUAGGAAAACAUUUGAAAGGCCUAUUUAUAUGGCUUGGCCAGCCACCCUACAUGACAUUACAAUUACAUUGAAAAUUUCAGAUUUGAUUUGAGUGAAAAUUCUCUUUGAGUUCUUCAAGGAUUUUCUCUUGAGUUUUCUUUAGAAGUUGUUUUAACAAUCUUUUUGAUUGUGGGAGCCAUCUUCAACCUUCUUCUUGCCAUUGAUAUUCUUUGGAGGGGAGAUUAGAGCCGUUUGAAGGGAGUUGUGAGAUCUUUCGGGAUUUCAAGGCUUCUUAGGACUUAUCUUUUAAUUUCUUAUUGUCAAUUCUUUCUUUAUUUCUGCUUGUGCCGAAUCUUUAUCUAAUUUAUUUUCUGUUCUUAUUGUGUUUUCAGCCUUUUUCUAUCUUAAGGAAUUAGCCCAAAAAUCCCCAAUUUCUAGGGUUCUUGCCGAUUCAUCCAUACUCUUUUUGGGAGAAAUUAGAUUGCCGAAAUUUGGGGAAAACUAUCUGGGUGUUCAAUUGGGCAGAAUCGCAAUCUCUUCUAGGGUUUCAAGAUUCCUUAUUAACACUUAUUUCUAUUCUCAAUUUGAUUCUUUGCUGAUUUGGGGAUUUUAUUUCAGAUCUGAAAAUUCAAAAAUCUAAUCUUUUAAUUUUCUGUUUCGUUUCAGAUCUAAUUGUUUAGGGUUUUCGUAGGAGUUUCUCGUGACUUGGCAACUCGAUCUUGGUCCGCGCGCAACCCCGUAUCAUUUGGUAUCAGAUUUUGGGCGUUUUGGGUGUUCUUGGUUGAUUUCUAAACUGAUCUCUAUUUUUUAAAUUACAAACAGCAGUUUUACCCAGAAAAAUUUUCGAAAAAAAAUUCAUUUGAGUGGGUAAACGUUUUCUGAUUGAUCUGAAAUUUUACAUACAUAUUUUUGGCACUGUUAUUGAAUAUACAAAAAUAUUUCCCGCAAAAAAAUAAGUCAAAAAAGUCAAAAAAUUGAAAAAAUACGAAAUCCAAUAAAAAAUUAAAAAAAUAUUCAGCGGGUUGAAUUUGGUGCCCAAAUUUUCCAGAUCAAAAAUUCAAUAUUUGAAGACAUUCCAGAUUUAAUUUUGUGAUUUUUUGAGAUCGGGAACACCUCGAACGAAGUUGUCAAGUUACUCCGCAGUUUUUCGGGUUUUCUGUUUUCAACAAUUUUUUAUUGAUUCUUAGCUGUAGGUUUUCAUUUGUUUGCUUUUUAUUCUCCCUUUACAAUAUCUAACACCUUCUUGUUUUUUGUGUUAGUAGGAUUUAAACGUGUGCCCAAUUCUUCCUCGGUGCAACACGAAUCAAUUGGUGUCUCGUCAGUUUUUGGCAUCCUAGUGCACAUUAGGAUUCUUUGGUAGAUCGGUUCAUCCACUCUCUAAUUGGUUGAUAUAAACUUUGAUAAAGAACUCACAAGAUUGAAUUCUACCUCAUUGAGAAUUUGAAUUUUCUUUUUGAGUGAUUAACGGUGAGGUUUGCUAACUUUUAUUUUUGAGUGUUGAGUGUUUUGCAGAUUUUUAAAAAAAAAUGUCUACAGGUGAUAAUAAUGGUGACAUAUUUAAAAAAUUCCAACAACAGUUGGAUGAACAGGCUGCUGCUCUUCGAGCUUUGACUGCUACUAUCAAUAAGGUGCGAGUGAAUCAAAAACAUCAAUAUCGAGAUCCAAUUAAGGAAGAUAGGGAUAACCAGCCCCAUAGGUGCAACCCUCAACGUGUCCCUAGAAUGGAUGAUGAUUUUCAUGAUCGUGGUCAACCUUCUUUGGCAAAACCAAAGAGCGAGCAGCAACGAGAACAUCUCUUUCAUACUCGCUGCCAUGUACAAGGUAAGCUUUGUAGAGUUAUUAUUGAUGGUGAAAGUUGCUCGAACGUAGCCAGCACGACGAUGGUGGAAAAGCUUUGCUUAAGCACUACCAAGCAUCCACGGCCUUAUCAACUACAAGGGCUUAGCAACGAAAGCCAAUUUAAGGUCACUCAACAAGUGCGCAUCGCCUUUUCUAUCGGUAAAUAUCAAGACGAAGUCGUGUGCGACGUAGUACCUAUUCAAGCCUGCCAUUUGUUGCUAGGAGAACCAUGGCAACUGGAUCGAAAAGUCAUUCACGAUGGUCGUACCAAUAGGUAUUCUUUCAAGUAUCAAGGAAGGAAAAUCACCUUAGUGCCGCUCACUCCGGAACAAGUCCAUGAGGACCAAAUCAAACUGAAAAAUUCUGUUGUUAAAACAAGUGAGGAAAAAGAAAAAGAGAAUGAAAAAGAGCAAAAAGAGAUUGAGAGUGAAAAGGAAUGUGAAACAAAAAAGAAAAUUGAAAAAGAAGUUGAAGAAAGAAGAGAAAAUGAGUUAGAAAAAGAAACAAAAGAAAAAGACGAGGAAAGGCUAGUGAGGAAUGUUUCCACUAACCAAGAUAUGAAUUUUUCUUGUGUUGCUACUUUUCAGGUUCCCGAAAGAUCGAAAGAUAACUUUCAACUUCAAUACCUCUCAAAUGAAAGACGCUUUCAUACGAUCAACUUAAGCAAAGAUGAAAUCACACUACAUGAUCCCGAAGGUAAGCGAGGUAAGGAAAUUUUAGAAACCGAGUCCAGUGCAGAUUUGAAAAUUAUUGAUAAAACUUUUGGUGACUUAGUUCUUAAAAGAUCCCCUCAUUUUGACCCGAUUAAUUGUUACUCUUCGAUUGUGGUUGAUAAAGUCCUUACGAAAAGAAGCGUGAUUUGUUAUUCUCUUGAUUUACCUUGUGUAAAAUCCUCGAAUUUGUCCAAAUCUGUUUUGGAGAAUAAGGUAACGAAAUUUUCCAAAUUUGUUUUCAAUUUAUAUUCGUGCCUUAAACAGUUUAUGUGGUUGUACAUGAAGUUUGAGUUCCAUUUGACAAACGUUAACUCAACAACGAAGAUUCGACUACACUAUGCCCCCGAUGAGCGAAGGUUUGUUUUAAAUGAAAAAGGUAAAAUCGACCCUUAUUCUUCUGCUUAUCGAGGUAAGAUGCUUGAAACCUUUGAAACACUUUUGUACUCCUCGGAUAGUGAUAAAGAUCGUGUUGAUGAACACUUAGAUCGAAACGUGCUUGACUGUCCUAUUUUAUUUAUUGAUGAUCUAUCUAUUUUGAUGGUUGAUAAAAAGAUUCUUGUUUUUGAUAAUGCAUGUGUGAGUGAAUCUAUAGACCGUCGAUUAAUGCAUGGUAUGAUUAUGCAACUCUGUGAACCAUGUGAAUCUUUUCAAAUACCUACUUGUGACGAUUAUGUUUACCAUUUGAUUUAUUACUCGCAAUUUAUUCAUGGUUUGUGGGAACAAUGUGAGACGACUGGAUGCCUUAAAACAUGUCCAUCUUUGUUUCAAAUAUUUGACGAGGCAGUGGUGAGUAAAUUAGAUUGUUUGCAUGGUAAUCUGAAUCUGUCCAUUCACAUGCGUUAUACCUGUUCUGUUAUGCUUAUGAUUAGACUACAAGCUUGUUUCCGUUGCUAUUUACUAUCUCAUGGCUAUUCUUUUCAGUGGACUCAAUUGCCAUUAGUCCCGUUCGAUAGAGGAAAGUCGAGUUCAUUUGAUUUUUCAGAUUCGAGGACGAAUCUUUUUGAGGAAGGGGGGAAUGAUACGAGUCACAAAAGCCCAAAUUCUUGAAGGCGAUGCCCAAUAAGCAAAUUCCCAACCCAAUCAAGAAAUCCACCCAUACUUAGUUGAAAAUCAGGCCAAAUUGUCAAAGUGGCCCAAGUUGUAAAGUUUUAUUUUUAUUUAUUUAUUUAUUUAUUUUAUUUAGUUUAAAUUUUUAUAUUCAGUCCAAGAGUCCCAAAUAAAAGACCCUUGGCCGAAUUUCCAUAUUAAAAUAAUUAGGAGUUUUUUUUAGUUUUAGUUUUAGUGUUCUAAUUAAAUUAGGAAAACAUUUGAAAGGCCUAUUUAUAUGGCUUGGCCAGCCACCCUACAUGACAUUACAAUUACAUUGAAAAUUUCAGAUUUGAUUUGAGUGAAAAUUCUCUUUGAGUUCUUCAAGGAUUUUCUCUUGAGUUUUCUUUAGAAGUUGUUUUAACAAUCUUUUUGAUUGUGGGAGCCAUCUUCAACCUUCUUCUUGCCAUUGAUAUUCUUUGGAGGGGAGAUUAGAGCCGUUUGAAGGGAGUUGUGAGAUCUUUCGGGAUUUCAAGGCUUCUUAGGACUUAUCUUUUAAUUUCUUAUUGUCAAUUCUUUCUUUAUUUCUGCUUGUGCCGAAUCUUUAUCUAAUUUAUUUUCUGUUCUUAUUGUGUUUUCAGCCUUUUUCUAUCUUAAGGAAUUAGCCCAAAAAUCCCCAAUUUCUAGGGUUCUUGCCGAUUCAUCCAUACUCUUUUUGGGAGAAAUUAGAUUGCCGAAAUUUGGGGAAAACUAUCUGGGUGUUCAAUUGGGCAGAAUCGCAAUCUCUUCUAGGGUUUCAAGAUUCCUUAUUAACACUUAUUUCUAUUCUCAAUUUGAUUCUUUGCUGAUUUGGGGAUUUUAUUUCAGAUCUGAAAAUUCAAAAAUCUAAUCUUUUAAUUUUUUGUUUCGUUUCAGAUCUAAUUGUUUAGGGUUUUCGUAGGAGUUUCUCGUGACUUGGCAACUCGAUCUUGGUCUGCGCGCAACCCCGUAUCAAAAUAAUUUGGUGGAAUGCCUUCAUGCUUGAAUUGUGUUAGUUUGGCAUGGUAAAAUAGUGUUUAUUUGGUGAAUGAUUGUAUGGUAGUAUUUAAGGUUGGUUUGAAGGUAAUUGAAUUAAUAUCAAAUGUGCAUUUUGUCAAAAUAAGGACAAUGUUGUGACUAGGAGAUUUCGACAUCGCAACCUUGUCUGACAGUGAGUGGAGUCGCAACGUGGAAAUGUUUAACAUCACGAUGUAACUCAUUGACUUGCGACGUGAAAAACAUAAAGUCGUCACGUUAGCUCGAGAUUUUUCAAACUUCACAAUUUAGUCAUAUUUCAUGUUCGGGUUAAUAAAAGAGUUUUUGUAAGAUUAAGUAGGGCCCAAAAAUGAUUGUGUAUUACUUUAUAUACAUGAAUGCCAUUUAAUUAUGUAUUUAAAUGUUAAUAUGUUACAUGAUGUUUUAAAUUUUAUUAAAUCGAUGAUCAUAACAUCUCAUAAUUCAGACCCGAUAAUCAGAUCGGAUAUAGAAUGUUACAACCUCUGUUCUAGAUUUUGGACUUUAACAUUCUCCUAUUGGAUUGUGAUUACAAGGGACACUAUUAUACUUAAAUCUUUUUAUUUAUUCGAUAACCAUAUCCAAGCACUGUCAAUGGAUGGGUAAGUCUGCAGAAUGACAUAGCUUUUAGCUUGGACUGAUGCUAGCCUAAUCAUGAAAACUUUUAUAAUCAUUCUACCUUGUGGAGGUUGUUGUUGUUGUUGCUGGUUAAGAGAGAGCACUAUUUUGAUUUUAUACGUAGUUUCUUUCCUCCGUAGGCCUUGGAUUGACUUCAAUCUUAUAGGUUUUUCUUUUUUUUUGGUUCGUGUUGCUCGUUUAUAAUAAAAUAAAUUAUUAGUGUUACAAAAAUUUAGAGGAAGUAGGUCUUGACUUGAUUAUGGGUUGGACCACUCGUCUAGACCCAAAGGUUCGUCCAAAAAGUAAAAAGUUCUGAAUAAAAUAUAACUCCGAAACAUAAGCAUGGAUAAAAAAUAAAGCAUGUUUUCUAAACGGGCUGGACCUCGAGUUGUUUGCCUAAAUUUGUCUAAAAUUUUUUCACUAUUGUUUUCUAUUGUUUUACUACCGUUUUACUAUUAUUUCCUACCAUUUUGAUAUUGUUUUGCUAUUAUAUUGUUACUAUUUUGUUAUUAUUAUUUGAGUAUUGUAUAAUUUUUAUUUUAUUAAUAAUUUUACUACUAUUUUAGAAGUAUUUGCUUGCUAAGUUGUAACUAUUUUUAAUGUUAUUUAAAUAUAAAAACUUUUUAUAAUGUAUUUAUAAUGUGUUGAGAAAUAUUUAUUUUAAUAUUUUUAAUGUAUUUAAUAUAUUAUAUUUUUUAAAUUUAUUUUUAAAUAAAAAAUAAUAUAAUUUUUUUAAUAUGAAUAGAUCAGAUUUAAGUUUAACAUUUUUUCUAAGCUAAAUUUAGACAAAAUUUUCUCUUCAUUUUUCAAGCUCAAGCAUAUUAAACGAGUCUAGAAAUUUAUUAAAGCGCGACCCGAAACCAAUUUGGCCAUGAUUAAAUCUAAGUAGGCCUUAUGAGUGACACGUGUUGGAGAAUUGUAUGCGAUGCGACUCACGCACAAAAAGAAAGAAGCGGGCAAGGCAAAUAAUCUACCGUCCUUUAUAUAUUCCAACAUCACACGUUUUCUAAUUUUAUUGAACCCUAAAUAUUUCUUAAUUUUCUUUUUCUCUGUCCCCUAAAACGAACGACACAAACAAAACAAAGAAGCCCUAGAUACAUCAUUAAAGGAUGUACGGUCAAGACGGAGGCGAAGCUGCUCCGCCUUCAUAUGGAGGUGGUUACGGCGUUUCUGGAGGCUAUGGAGGCGGCGGCGGGGGUUAUGGUGGAGGCGGACGAGGUGGAAGUGGAGGUCAUGGGGGUCGAGGUGGAGGCGGCAGAGGAGGUGGUGGAGGAUAUGGCGGUGGUUAUCAAAAUCGAGGUAAUUUUGUUUGUUCUUAAUAUUUUUGUUAGAUUUGUGGGGUAGCGUUGUUGAGUGUUUGUUUUCUCGCAAAUUUGAUAUUGGUUUUUGGGAGAUCAAUCCGAUUUUAAGGUCUUGUUAUGUUCUUAGUUUAAUUAAUGAGAUCUUGAUGUUGCAGGAGGCGGUGGAGGCUAUCAAGGAGGAGAGCGUGCUGGAAGAGGUGGCGGCGGAAGAGGUGGUGGCCGUGGUGGAAGCGGCCGUGAUGGUGAUUGGCUUUGCCCUAACCCCAGGUAAACGAUCUUCCACUGCUUUUGAUUUCCUUAUGGGGGGAGGUUUUCCUCUCCGUUGUGGAUUUUGCAUUGUUAAUUAGUCAAAUAUUCAGGUUUCGGUUUGUUGCUGAUAUUAUGAUACUGCUGUUAGUUGUUAGAUUUGUGUUUAUUUGAACUGGCAUAUGUUUAUGUAGCUGUGGGAACUUGAACUUUGCAAGAAGAGUUGAAUGUAACAAAUGCGGUGCACCAUCUCCUGCGGGUGCUGGUGGUGAUCGUGGUAGUGGUAGUACUGGUGGUGGUUAUAGCAGAGGUGGUGGUGGGGGAUAUGGCGGUAAUCGCGGAGGUAGAGAUGGGGGUAGAGGUGGUUAUGAUAGUGGUAGGAAUAACAACUAUGAUGGAGGCAGAGGUGGAAACAAUGAUAAUAGAAGCAGUGGUAGUAGAGGUGGUUCUUAUGGAAGUAGUCAAGGGGUAGAAGAUAGUGGGUAUGGUCAAGUUCCUCCUCCAGCACCCAAUUCUUAUGGUGGGAAUUAUCCACCUGCUCCUAAUACAUAUGGUGGGAAUGCAAAUUAUGGAAUGGAUUCAGUCCCUCCACCUACAAGCUAUACUGGUGGACCUACAUCAUACCCUCCAUCUUAUGGUGGCCCUGCGGGUGGCUAUGCUGGUGAGGGUUUGAGUGAUGCACGGACUGGUGGUCGUGGUGGAC